GACGAACGCUGGCGGCGUGCUUAACACAUGCAAGUCGAACGAUGAAGAAAAGAAUCGAAGCUUCGGCAGAAAUUCAUUUCGGAUUAGUGGCAGACGGGUGAGUAACGCGUGAGCAACCUACCUCUUACAAAGGGAUAGCCUCGGGAAACCGGGAUUAAUACCAUAUAACAUUGCGACGAAGCAUUUCGAUGCAAUCAAAGCUACGGCGGUAAGAGAUGGGCUCGCGUCCCAUUAACCGGAUGGUGAGGUAACGGCUCACCAUAGUGACGAUGGGUAACCGGCCUGAGAGGGUGAACGGUCACACUGGAACUGAGACACGGUCCAGACUCCUACGGGAGGCAGCAGUGGGGAAUAUUGCACAAUGGAGGGAACUCUGAUGCAGCGACGCCGCGUGAGUGAUGAAGGAAUUCGUUUCGUAAAACUCUGUUCUAUGGGAAGAAAAGGACUGUACCAUAGGAGAAAGCGCCGGCUAAAUACGUA
rnacentral:rRNA from 1 species